rnacentral:rRNA from 1 species
GACGAGGGGUCCAAGCGUUGUUCGGAAUCAUUGGGCGUAAAGCGGGUGUAGGCGGCUCUAUAAGUCAGAAGUGAAAGCCCCAGGCUUAACCUGGGAAGUGCUUUUGAUACUGCAGAGCUUGAAUGUGGGAGAGGGUAGUGGAAUUCCAGGUGUAGUGGUGAAAUACGUAGAUAUCUGGAGGAACACCGGUGGCGAAGGCGGCUACCUGGCCCAACAUUGACGCUGAGACCCGAAAGCAUGGGGAUCAAACAGG